CGCGUAGGCGGACUAUUAAGUUGUGGGUGAAAUCCCGGGGCUCAACCUCGGAACUGCCUGCAAAACUGUUAGUCUUGAGGUAUGAAGAGGGAAGUGGAAUUCCAGGUGUAGCGGUGAAAUGCGUAGAUAUCUGGAGGAACACCCGUGGCGAAGGCGGCUUCCUGGUCAUAUCCUGACGCUGAGGUGCGAAAGCCAGGGGAGCGAACGGGAUUAGAUACCCCGGUAGUCCUGGCCGUAAACGAUGGAUACUAGGUGUUAGAGGUAUCGACCCCUCUAGUGCCGCAGCUAACGCAUUAAGUAUCCCGCCUGGGGAGUACGACCGCAAGGUUGAA
rnacentral:rRNA from 1 species